GCAGUGGCAGUUCUGCGCCGCCUCGCUUUCGUGCUGAGGUCUUCUGCCGCUCACUGUCCGACUUUGGGGUUUUCUUGCCUUUUUUCUCUCAGAGUUGAGCCCCUACCCGGGCCCUUUAGUCCCUCGGUGACGAGGAACGGUGGAGUUUAGAACCUGCGAUGGAACUUACCAGAGACCAGAUAGCUAGAGAAUGGCUGAACUGGGUUUUGAAUCUAGUCAAUCUUGACCCCAGAGCUCUCCAGCCUAAAGCACCCUUCUAUCCACAUUCCACAGAUGAGAAAAGGAAGUUUGGAGAACGAGGCUCCAGGCUGCACACCUAUUGCUGAGGAGAGCUGAAAUUCCAACCAUGUUUCUCCAGCUCCAGAGUCUGUGCCUCUACCACUUGAUAUAAAAGACCAUGUGAUCACAUCACAAGCUACAAAUAACUCUUAACUAAAUGUAAGCUAUCCUGGAAUUCAUCCCUAAAAUGGAGUGAUCUGCUUGGAGAUUAAAAUUAAAACAAACAAACAAAAAAGAAUUAAACAGGGAUCAGCAAAUUAUAGUCCCAAACUUGCUUGCCAAAUAACCUAAGGCUGCUUCCAGUCUACAAGGGCAGAGUUGAGUAGUUGUGACAGAAACCAAAUGAUCCACAGAAUUCAAAAUAUUUUCUUUUUGACCCUUUGCGGAAAAAGCAUGCUGAUCUGAACUCUGGAAGAGAACCUUUGUCAAUCAAUAUCUAGCGUUGUCCCAGGAAGAGAGAUUCAAUGUGUAGCAGACACUGGAAAGCCUACCUUAUAUAAGUGCAAGGGGAUCUGCUGACCCUGCCCCAUUUAUUCAAGUGAGUAAAUUCCCCUUGCCAUGACCUAUUAUCCAUCAAGAAAUCUCAUCACAAAUACCAUUUUCUAAGUACCAUAAUAACUGAGAACAACUAUGAAGAAAAACAGAUAACAGAUAAUAGUUGCUGUGAAAAUAUGGCCAAAUUGUAAAUUAACAGUUUAAUAUGCUGGAUUUAAAAUCACCACACAAUGAAUUUAUAAUUGGUAUGAAACUCUUAAGUAGAUCUGAUCAUAUCUAAAAAAACUGGUAAAAAUUAGUUCCUGAACUUUGCCAGAAUCAAAGAUUAGGAUUCUUAUUGACCCAAAAAGACAGAUAAAUGAAGAAUAUCCAGGUUAAGAAAGCUAAACAGCCUCUCAAUCUACAUCAGUUUAUCAGUAUGUUUCAUGCAUUAAAUUUGUUCAAAGAAUAAAUAAACUUAAUUGAUGAAAAAGGUUUAUAUGCUUUUCAGCAAUUGUAUUCACACUGUGUUUCUUACUUGUUUUUAUACCAUGAUAGAAUAAUAGGAUGGAAAACAUGAGACUCUGCACUAUUUUGAAUAAUUCACAAAAAAUUUUGGAAUAGAAUAUAGAUAGUUUAAGUUAAUUAGAUUGGCCCUAUGAACCAAUAAUCUAAUUUUCAAAGUAACAU